GUCUACGGCCACACUACCCUGAACAAGCCCAAUCCUGCCUGAUCUCGGAAGAUAAGCAGGGUCAGGCCUGAUUAGUAUUUGGAGACCACCUAGGAAGACCAGGUGCUGUAGGCA
rnacentral:rRNA from 1 species